GGAAAGAUCAGUAAUGGAAAGAGCAUUUGACUGGCAAUCAGAAGACUUGGGUUUGAAUCCUGAUUUUUUCC
rnacentral:tRNA from 1 species